AUGGGAGGGCUGGGCUCCUGUGACAGCAUGCUGGUUCAGCAGACCGUUAAACACGACAGCAUGCCAGCCAUGCAGGAGGCCAUCGCUGCUGCCGCUGCAGGAAGGGGAGGAGCCACAGGAGGAAGUGGUACGGUGUCCCCUAGGCCCCACCCACUGAUCUGGGCUCCACUGAUCCACGCUCCGCUCCAGACGGCGGCCGCUACGACUAACGUGGCCAUCGCCCUCAUGCACCAGCAGCAGCAGCAACAGCAGCUUCAACAUCAGCUACAGCAGCAACAUGCGCUAGGAGGCGCUAUAUUCCUCCCCUCCAUCUCUCCAUCAUCCUCCGUCUCCUUCCCCCUCUCCCCCCCGCGGCCCCCUGUCCUGCAGCCCCUGCGCCCCUCUGUGAGUUCCCUCAUUGGGAUGAUGGGAGUAGGAGGGAUGGGGGGGCUGUCCCCUAGAGGGUUUCCUGCCUUCCCCUCCCCCUCGCCCUUCCCCAUGGUCCCCCCGGGAGGUGUGAUAUCACCCCCUGUUGCUCAAACCCCACCCACACCGGCCUCCUCUGUUUCCACGUCGCUCCAAUUAGGAAAGACCCUGCACUACAGUCUCCGCCUCCACCCGGAACACUCUUCAGUGAUGUGUGGAACCCCAGGAAUCCCCAAGGUAGGAGGGGCCACCACAACCCAUCUGUUCUACCACGUGAAUCCAACUGCAGCCACCAGUGUCAUGUCAGACACUUGCAGUUCCAUGGCUGGCCAGCAUGGGGCCAAGGAGGCGCUAUUGCGUCACGGAGGCAGCAGCAACCAGGGCCUGCCUGCACUUGGGAGGCUCACCCAGGAGGCCAGGCUCCUCUCCGCCUCGCAGCCCACCCUGCCUCAUCGAUCCUGGGCAAGCAUGCAGCCUCACCCCCCUCUCCAGCGGAAGGCCUCUGGAGGUAACCUGCUUCCAGCGUCAUUCCUGGCUGGGACGCAGCUAGCAAGGGGUGGCAGUGUGGGAGUGUUGACUACUCCCCUACCAGUACAAGUCUCAGCACAACGGUUACAGAUGCCCCCCUUCAAUGCACAGAUACAAGCACAUAACCUAGGCUCUAUGCAGCCCAUCCCUGAUCAUGUCUCUACACACUGCCCUGCACACACACACACAGCCACACACACACAUCCUGUCGCUGUACCUGCAGCCACACCCACAUCAGCUUCUCCCCUGGCCUCCUACACCCCCUCCUCUGCUCCCACUCCUUUCUCCCUCAUCCCAGCCCUGCCACUGACCCCUCGCCCCAAACCCACCCCUACACCCCCAUUUCGCUCCUCCUCUCCUCCCCCUGCUCCAUCCCUCCCUCUGCCGGAACUACUCCACUCACCUCAACCCCUUUGUCCAAACCCACACCUACACCUCCCCCUCGCUCUUCUUCCCCCUCUCCCUCCUCCACUCCCCCUCCCUCCUCUGUAACCACCUCUUUCCCCCUCACCUCAACCCCUCGCCCCAAACCCAUCCCUACACCUCCCCUGUGCUAUUCUUCCCCCUCUCCCUCCUCCACUCCCCCUCCCUCCUCUAUCAGUGCCCCUCUCUCACUUCCACAAACCCAUGGGCGCAAGUCCUCUCUCGCGUCCCCCUCUCCCCCUCCUCUUCCCUACCUUCCUCUCCCACUCUUCUUCAGAGCCCCUAAUCAAGCCCUCCCCUACACCCCCUCCCCUUACCCUCUAUCUGGGCCCACCCCUACCCCCUCUAAAGCCUUUACCCCUAUCCAGACUCGUACCCCUAACCCUACCCUCUCUCAACCCUCCAAUCGUCCCUCUACCCCUAUUUCUACUCCUGUUCCCAUUCAGAGCCAAACCCUAACUGCAACCCCCACCCCAGCCUCCACUCCCACCCCAGCCUCCACUCCCACCCCAGCUCCAAAGCUGACCACAGCCGUAACACCUGUCCAAACCUCCACUACCACCCUCCCACCCACUCAGUUGGUCCCAGGCCCUGCCACCUCCCUCCCUCAAACCUCUUGCCCCCCAGCCACCUCUGCCCCCUCCGCCUCCCCCAAGGGGGGCAAGAAGGACCCGUAGCUGUCUCCGACAGGGAAAGACUAAUAGGGACUGAGAGAAAAACUGCCUGCCAACAUGUGAUGGUCCUGGAGGAAAUGAUCUGAUUGGAGGAUGGACUUUUCAGGACAGAUAUAAUGUGUAGGUUGUGUCACCAAACACCCCAUGCCCCAAUUAAAGUAACACACUGUAAGGAAUAGGGUACUGCAGAUUUGAGUUCAACAAACUAUCCUCCAAACAGUCCAUGACUUGCGACUAGGUUUUAACAGUUGUUGCCAACAUGGCAUGCCAAAAUUCUAGAUUCAAACCGAGUUCGGCAGACUCUGUAUAUCUAUGGCUCUGGUGACUAGGGCAGGCUAGAGUAGAAUCACAGUUUAUAUUUGAAGUCCAAACAUAUAGAUGCAUAUCUGUGUAAGUGAUUGUUGGAGCAAGCAAGAGAGAUGAAGUGGAAGAUAAUGGCAGCACACAGUGGGAUACAGCUGACAGAAAAGACGAGGACGAUGAUGACAAAGAUAGCAAUGGGGCUCGUUGCAUCUUGCUGCUGAUUGGAGGAGGGUUAGUUGGUCAAUUCUAAGGCGACCAAUAAGAUAGGCACUUCCUGAUUUCCAGCUUCACCUCCCUUUUGCCUCUCGCUCUUCACCAAAGUGUAAUAUUUUGUCAUUAUAUGAUUAAUCAUAGUAUGAGAUUACUAAUCACUGUAAAGUUAGUCAUCAUAUUGAUCAGUAACUUUAGGAGCGAUUGAUCCACUUGUGGUUUUGUUGUCCAAGUUGUGUGGUGUUUAGCUUCGUUUAGCUUCGUUGUUCACACAACUUCUGUAACUGAAUUGUGUGUUUUGGUGCAACACUUAAUACUGCUCCCUCGUAAACUGUGGAUGUGGGUUUAUUUGUUCCGCCUAGCUUCCUGUAAAUGCAUGCCUCUCUCUCUAUUCCCUCCUUUUCCCUCGUUCCUCACCUCCUCUGGCUCCUGUCUGCUUUUAUCCUGUCUUUCAUCUCUGUCUGUCUGAUCCUCCUUUCAUCUUUCACAGAGCUUUUGUAGUUAACUACUGUUCCAGAGACAUUCACAGAUGCUCUCUACCUCUCUCCAUCUCUGACUUUUCCCUCUCUCCACUGUAUCUCUCUCUAUCAUUCCCUCCCUCUAUUCAUCCAUCCCUCCCCCUCCUUUCUUCCCUCUCUCUACUGUAUCUCUCUCUAUCAUUCCCUCCCUCCAUCCAUCCCUCCCUCCCCCUCCUUUCUUCCCUCUCUUGUCCUGGUGUCAUGUCCAGUGCUGUUUGAUGUUUUCUGUGGGUAGCAACAGAGCAUUCCUCUUUUAACCCUUGAUACCAUGUUGCCUAGAUUAUAUUUAAGGACCAAAUGUUUUAUUUGUGAUCACAGCUUUAGCUUUUGAGCAAAAUCAAUGAAAUGAUAGUUGUUGAUGAUGAUGUUAUUGAUGCUGAUGUUAUUGAUGAUGAUGUUAUUGAUUAUGAUGAUGGUGACGGUAAGAAUGUUUUUGAUGAUAGCUAGAAUAAAGCACAUUUAGAAAGUCA
ensembl:lncRNA